rnacentral:rRNA from 1 species
GACGUAGGGCGCGAGCGUUUGUCCGGAUUUAUUGGGCGUAAAGAGCUCGUAGGCAGUUUGUCACGUCUGCUGUGAAAACUGGAGGCUCAACCUCCAGCCUGCAGUGGGUACGGGCAGACUAGAGUGCGGUAGGGGAGAUUGGAAUUCCUGGUGUAGCGGUGGAAUGCGCAGAUAUCAGGAGGAACACCGAUGCGAAGGCAGAUCUCUGGGCCGUAACUGACGCUGAGGAGCGAAAGCUGGGGAGC